CGAUUAGAAGUGCAGCCCUGAGCUCCCUGUGUGCUCCCAGCUUCUGAAGGCAGCUCAGCAAUGAGGUUUCCAUUUGUUUGCUGUGUGGUGCUGGCCGUGCUGGGGAUCCCAGGGCCGUGCUGUGCUCACCUGCCCAAAGUUCCAGGGUGUGGAGGUUAUGUAGUCCCUGGAGCCCAUGUAGAUGAGCCCCUGCUGGGACAGCACGUACUCACGGCGCUCGUCCUCUUCCUUCAGGAGAUUUUUCCCCAGGGGUGGGAACCUCCGUGGCUGAGAAGCAAAUGGUGGGAACUGGGAGUGCUGGCGGACAUCAGGGCCUAUGCAGGGGUCACUGCUGGAAACAACACCCCUUACGGGAAAGGCUUUCAGGAACAAAACCCGUACGUCCACAGCAUCAGCACUCAGUACAGCCCUGGGUGAGCAAAGCUUCCUCACAGCCCUUAUCUCCAGAGCCAGCACAAAGCAUUGGGAUUCAGGAAAUUGGUCCCUCAGCCAAGGUCAGCAUGGGGCAGUGCAGGGCUGCUCUGGGGCAGGGGAAGGAUGUGAGCACAUGACUGCCAAUUGCCAGCUGUAAUUAACCUCCAGCAGGUCUGCGUGCUGCCACCUGCAUUGCUGCAUGUCUGGGAGCUCCCAGGGGCCUUUCCCCCACCAGGAGCAGCUGCUAAGGGACACCAGAUACUGGGUGUUGAUACAAGGAGCUGUGUGCUGAGCAGAGGAGGGGGCUUGUGGCCUGCUGCAGGGAUCUAUAGAGAGGGGAAAGAGCCCUGGGACCUCUCUGGUGUUGGGAAGGUGAGAGCCUCACCUGGGUGCCAGGCGUUGAAGAGCAGAAUGAAGUCCCCGAGGUGGAAGCUGGAGCCCUGGUACCCCGUGGAGGCCUCCAGUGUCAGGCGGUAGCGGCCCACGCGGGCACUGCUGGGGGAGCAGAGCGAUACACAGAGCGUGGCCCCGUCCUGCUGCUGCAACACUGCACUCCAGGUCCCCUCCUCGGGGCAGUCGGUCAAGGUGAAGUGUGACCUGGUGCCCGACGUCUCAACGGGGCAGGGCCCCGUCUCCACGUCGAAGGCGAGUUUGUCCACCCCCUCCUCGUAGCCCCGUCCGGCGAAGUUCAGGGUGAUGGUGAAGGGCUGCCCGCGCCGCACCACCAGCUGCUGGCUGCCCAUCUCCGCCGUCCGGUGCUCGCGGCCAUUGCGCUCGCACUGCAGGUCGCACGUCUCCAGCACCAGCUCUUCGGCCAUGGUCCCGUCCGGUCCCGGUCGCGGUGCCGUCGCCUCCCGCUGCCUUUAUAGCGCGGGCGCAGCGCCCUCCCCCGGGGCCGGGGCCGGGGGGGAAUGAAAACAAAGUUUCCAGGAAACCGAGUGGGUUUGGUCCCACCUAUUUUAAACAACCGAGAAAAAAAAAGUAAUAAUCCC
rnacentral:lncRNA from 1 species